GGGGCGCGCCCCGGGCGGGGCGGGGGCACGGGGGGAACGCGAAGAACCUUACCUGGUCUUGACAUCCACGGAAGUUUUCAGAGAUGGGUUGGUGCCUUCGGGAACUGUGAGACAGGUGCUGCAUGGCUGUCGUCAGCUCGUGUUGUGAAAUGUUGGGUUAAGUCCCGCAACGAGCGCAACCCUUAUCCUUUGUUGCCAGCGGUCCGGCCGGGAACUCAAAGGAGACUGCCAGUGAUAAACUGGAGGAAGGUGGGGAUGACGUCAAGUCAUCAUGGCCCUUACGACCAGGGCUACACACGUGCUACAAUGGCGCAUACAAAGAGAAGCGACCUCGCGAGAGCAAGCGGACCUCAUAAAGUGCGUCGUAGUCCGGAUUGGAGUCUGCAACUCGACUCCAUGAAGUCGGAAUCGCUAGUAAUCGUGGAUCAGAAAG
rnacentral:rRNA from 1 species